CGAUCUGGGGAUCUGGGUGAUAUGG
rnacentral:piRNA from 1 species